UAUUUGGUUUGUGCAAAAGUUAUUGCAGCUUUUACCAUUACUUUCAAUGGCAAAAACUGCAAUCACUUUUGCACCAACCUUAAUA
ensembl:miRNA